rnacentral:rRNA from 1 species
AGCGUGUGGUUUAAUUCGUUGCUACACGAGAACCUUACCUGGGUUUGACAUAUAGGUUGUAGGGAACUGAGAAGGGACCGACCUUCGGGAGCCUAUACAGGUGUUGCAUGGCUGUCGUCAGCUCGUGUCGUGAGAUGUUCGGUUAAGUCCGCUAACGAGCGCAACCCUCGUCGUAUGUUAUAUGUGUCAUACGAGACUGCCGGUAAAAGCCGGAGGAAGGUGAGGAUGAUGUCAAGUCAGCAUGACCUUUAUAUCCAGGGCUACACACACGCUACAAUGGUCUGUACAAUGGGUAGCCAAGCCGCGAGGCGGAGCCAAUCCUGAAAGCAGGCCUCAGUUCAGAUUGCAGUCUGCAACUCGACUGCAUGAAGCCGGAGUUGCUAGUAAACGCAGGUCAGCCAUACUGCGUUGAAUACGUUCCCGGGGCUU